rnacentral:rRNA from 1 species
UACGUAAGGGGCGAGCGUUAUCCGGAAUUACUGGGCGUAAAGCGUGUGUAGGCGGUUUAGUGUGUGGGAAUUGAAAGCCCGGGGCUCAACUCCGGAUCCGGUUCCCAAACUGCUAGACUCGAGAGUAUCAGAGGAGAGCGGAAUUCCCGGUGUAGCGGUAAUAUGCGUAGAUAUCGGGAGGAACACCAGUGGCGAAGGCGGCUCUCUGGGGUAUAACUGACGCUGAGGAGCGAAAGCGUGGGGAGCGAACAGG